CCUCCUUGAUCUGCGGGCAGAUCAGGUGGACGUGACAGUCGAUGCCGCCGGCCGUGACGAUCUUCCCGUUGCCCGCGAUGAUUUCGGUGGACGGGCCGAUGACGAGAUCGGGAUGCACCCCGGUCAUGGUGUCGGGAUUGCCCGCCUUGCCCAGUGCCACGAUCCGUCCGUCGCGAAUACCGAGAUCGGCCUUGAUGAUUCCCCAGUAGUCGACGACGACCACUCCCGUGAUCACCGUGUCGGGAGCGCCGUCGGCGCGGGUGGCUCGGGACUGCCCCAUCGAUUCACGGAUG
rnacentral:sRNA from 1 species